UCGUCAACAUUGCCUGUAGACA
rnacentral:miRNA from 2 species